AGCACCGCACUGCCAAGUGCUCUCUCCCUGUAAUGACAAUAUUGCCCACAGCUCUUUCCUUCAAAGGAGCAGAGAAAUUAGUGGGCCAUAUAGUGUUCUGCUCGAGUCCGUAGUUUCUGCUUUUUAAAAUGUGUUUAGGGAGAAGAUUUGUCAUUUGCAGAAAGGAACAAAGAAGUCAAGGGCACAUUUAGAUUUUCCAUAGUAAUUAGAUGCUUGUUCCCAGGGAAGCAUUUGGGUUUUUAAUCAAAUCUCCAAAGUUUUGGUCUCCUGGAUUAAACAAUUCCCCUUCUCCCUGACCUGGCCCUGCUUUUGUUUCAUUAUGUAGAUCUGACCUUUACCUCACAAAGGUGUUGGCACUGAGAAGAUGCAAUGAAAACUUUCUCCUCUACCCAAGGGUUGAAUUCAAGAUGGCUCCCAUGAAGAGGCACCCCAUUACCAGGGCUAGCUCUUGGCCUUGCAUGUUCUAGACUGGCUGUCCUGGGAUACUGAUGCUCACAAAUGCUGUCUCAGGGGCUUCCUUAUUCACUGCUGAAUCAAAAAUCUUGGCUGUCCUUCCUGGAGGGCCCUUGAAUCCC
rnacentral:lncRNA from 1 species